rnacentral:lncRNA from 1 species
AAUUGAUAAAACAUAGUAAUUUGAAACAUUUGGCACAUAGAAUUGAUUGAAAUUAAAUUUAAGUACCAAUUGAAACUAUGUUUGAUGAAACAUGAAAAAUGCUAAUUUGAACCAAAUUAUAACCCUAAAUUAUUAAUUUGAAACUUAUGGCACAUAGUAAGGGGGAGAAUCGCAAAUUUUGAUAAAAUUGAAAUUGAAUUGAGCAUAAUUCUCAUACUC